rnacentral:rRNA from 1 species
GAGUUUGAUCAUGGCUCANCGAUGAACGCUGGCGGUCUGCUUAACACAUGCAAGUCGAACGAACUCUUCGGAGUGAGUGGCGGACGGGUGAGUAACGCGUGAGAAUCUGCCUGUGGGUCGGGGACAACCACUGGAAACGGUGGCUAAUACCGGAUGAGCCGAAAGGUAAAAGAUUUAUUGCCCACAGAUGAGCUCGCGUCUGAUUAGCUAGUUGGUAAGGUAAAAGCGUACCAAGGCGACGAUCAGUAGCUGGUCUGAGAGGAUGAGCAGCCACACUGGGACUGAGACACGGCCCAGACUCCUACGGGAGGCAGCAGUGGGGAAUUUUCCGCAAUGGGCGAAAGCCUGACGGAGCAAGACCGCGUGGGGGAGGAAGGUUUUUGGAUCGUAAACCCCUUUUGUCAAGGAAGAAGCUCUGACGGUACUUGACGAAUAAGCCUCGGCUAACUCCGUGCCAGCAGCCGCGGUAAUACGGAGGAGGCAAGCGUUAUCCGGAAUGAUUGGGCGUAAAGCGUCUGUAGGUGGCCAGCUAAGUCUGCUGUUAAAGAUCACAGCUCAACUGUGGGAAGGCAGUGGAAACUGGCAAGCUAGAGGUUGGUAGGGGUAAAGGGAAUUCCCGGUGUAGCGGUGAAAUGCGUAGAUAUCGGGAAGAACACCGGUGGCGAAAGCGCUUUACUGGGCCAGACCUGACACUGAAGGACGAAAGCUAGGGGAGCGAAAGGGAUUAGAUACCCCUGUAGUCCUAGCUGUAAACGAUGGAGACUAGGUGUAGCACGUAUCGACCCGUGCUGUAUCGUAGCCAACGCGUUAAGUCUCCCGCCUGGGGAGUACGCACGCAAGUGUGAAACUCAAAGGAAUUGACGGGGGCCCGCACAAGCGGUGGAGUAUGUGGUUUAAUUCGAUGCAACGCGAAGAACCUUACCAGGGCUUGACAUGUCGCGAAUCUUGAUGAAAGUUGAGAGUGCCUUCGGGAGCGCGAACACAGGUGGUGCAUGGCUGUCGUCAGCUCGUUUCGUGAGAUGUUGGGUUAAGUCCCCCAACGAGCGCAACCCUCGUCUUUAGUUGCCAAUAUUAAGUUAGGAACUCUAGAGAGACUGCCGGUGACAAACCGGAGGAAGGUGGGGAUGACGUCAAGUCAGCAUGCCCCUUACGCCCUGGGCAACACACGUACUACAAUGGUCGGGACAAAGGGCAGCGAACCUGCGAAGGGAAGCUAAUCUCAGAAACCCGGUCCCAGUUCAGAUUGCUCUCUGCAACUCGAGAGCAUGAAGGAGGAAUCGCUAGUAAUCGCCGGUCAGCAUACGGCGGUGAAUCCGUUCCCGGGCCUUGUACACACCGCCCGUCACACCAUGGAAGUUGGCCACGCCCGAAGUCGUUACCCUAACCCUUAGGGGAGGGGGAUGCCGAAGGCAGGGCUGAUGACUGGGGUGAAGUCGUAACAAGGUAGCCGUACCGGAAGGUGUGGCUGGAUCACCUCCUUU